rnacentral:misc_RNA from 1 species
CUCUUGUUCUCUUCUGUUAGUGUUUCGCAGCAUUUCUUCAAUACCUCACAAUCUAACUCAGUUUGCUUCAGCUUGGUCCUGGCUCUUCUGUUCUGGAACCAGACCUCUACUUGACGUGGCCUAAGAUUCAGUUGUUCAGCCAAAGCUUGCUUUUGCUUAGGAUUAAGAGUGCUGUGUUCUUUGAAGCUGUCUUCCAAAAUAGCCGACUGUUGUUUGGUAAGUCUAAGUUUCUUUCUGGGACUUCCUUCUUCAUCUUCAUCACUAACCCUUGAAGAGACUCUCUCCACUUCUACUUCUUCACCAGCAAACUCUCUCUCUUUCUUGACACGUGAGUUAGAAGAUGAGGAUGCUGCACUAGGAGACGAUGCCUGCGGCUGCGGUUGCAAAUCUGCUUCUACCUUAUUAGCCGAUGGAUAUGGCUCUUGUGGAGGGCCUAAUGUAAGAGAAGGGAACAUGUGAUCAUAUUUCAAGGAGAGUUUGUUCUUCUUUCGUUUAAGAUGAUCGGAUUGGGAACAGUUUUGUUGCUUGUCAUGGCAGCUUAGUCCUAGACCGAGGCCGGUGUUACAAACACCAUCGGAAAUUCCAAAACCCAUAAUAUUAAAUUGGAAGACCACACUUAGUGUUGUUGAAGUAGCUUGAUCAUAAAAUCUUGAAACUAUGGAAGUCGGAGAGAGGUAGAGUCUUCUUGAAAGAAAAGUAGAGGUUAAGGAAAGUAUGGGAAAUAGGUUAGG